UACGUAGGGUGCGAGCGUUGUCCGGAAUUAUUGGGCGUAAAGAGCUCGUAGGCGGUUUGUCGCGUCGGCUGUGAAAACUGGAGGCUUAACCUUCAGCGUGCAGUCGAUACGGGCAGACUUGAGUUCGGUAGGGGAGUCUGGAAUUCCUGGUGUAGCGGUGAAAUGCGCAGAUAUCAGGAGGAACACCGGUGGCGAAGGCGGGACUCUGGGCCGAUACUGACGCUGAGGAGCGAAAGCGUGGGGAGCGAACAGG
rnacentral:rRNA from 2 species